UGAAGUGAGACGCUUCUGACGCUGUCUGUUGUUCAAUAGUGGAUUGACACAUGGAAUGCGACAGCUGAAACCCAUGUCUUGCAUACGUCUGUCCAGCCUCUUUUGCAAUGACCUUUUGUGUCUUGCCCUCCUUGUGCAAGGUGUCAAUGGUCCUCUUUUGGACAACUGUCAAGUCAGCAGUCUUCCCCAUGAUUGUGUAGCCUACAGAACUAGACUGAGAGACCAUUUAAAGGCUUUGCAGGUGUUUUGAGUUAAUUAGCUGAUUAGAGUGUGGCACCAGGUGUCUUCAAUAUUGAACCUUUUCACAAUAUUCAAAUUUU